GACGAACGCUGACGGCGUGCUUAACACAUGCAAGUCGAACGGUGAAGCGCCUUCCUUUUUGGUGGGUGUGGAUGAGUGGCGAACGGGUGAGUAACACGUGAGUAACCUGCCCCCUUCUUCUGGAUAACCGCAUGAAAGUUUGGCUAAUACGGGAUAUUCUGGGUCUGUCGCAUGAUGGGUCUGGGAAAGAUAUUGUUUCGGUGGGGGAUGGGCUCGCGGCCUAUCAGCUUGUUGGUGGGGUGAUGGCCUACCAAGGCGGUGACGGGUAGCCGGCCUGAGAGGGUGGACGGUCACACUGGGACUGGGACACGGCCCAGACUCCUACGGGAGGCAGCAGUGGGGAAUAUUGCACAAUGGGCGCAAGCCUGAUGCAGCGACGCCGCGUGAGGGAUGGAGGCCUUCGGGUUGUGAACCUCUUUCGCCAGUGAAGCAGGCCUGCCUCGUUUGUGGGUGGGUUGACGGUAGCUGGAGAAGAAGCGCCGGCUAACUACGUG
rnacentral:rRNA from 1 species